rnacentral:rRNA from 1 species
GACAUACCUAUUUGUUGCCUCGGCGGUGCCUGUUCCGACAGCCCGCCAGAGGACCCCAAACCCUGAUUACAUUUAAGAAGUCUUCUGAGUAAACCGAUUAAAUAAAUCAAAACUUUCAACAACGGAUCUCUUGGUUCUGGCAUCGAUGAAGAACGCAGCGAAAUGCGAUAAGUAAUGUGAAUUGCAGAAUUCAGUGAAUCAUCGAAUCUUUGAACGCACAUUGCGCCCGCUAGUAUUCUGGCGGGCAUGCCUGUCCGAGCGUCAUUUCAACCCUCAAGCCCCCGGGCUUGGUGUUGGGGAUCGGCGAGCCUCCGCGCCCGCCGUCCCCUAAAUCUAGUGGCGGUCUCGCUGUAGCUUCCUCUGCGUAGUAGCACACCUCGCACUGGGAAACAGCGCGGCCACGCCGUUAAACCCCCAACUUCUGAACGUUUGACCUCGGAUCAGGUAGGAAUACCCGCUGAACUUAAGCAUAUCAAUAAGCGGAGG